UACAGAGGUCCCAAGCGUUGUUCGGAUUCAUUGGGCGUAAAGGGUGCGUAGGUGGCGCUGUAAGUCGGGUGUGAAAUUUCGGAGCUUAACUCCGAAACUGCAUUCGAUACUGCGGUGCUCGAGGACUGGAGAGGAGACUGGAAUUUACGGUGUAGCGGUGAAAUGCGUAGAUAUCGUAAGGAAGACCAGUGGCGAAGGCGGGUCUCUGGACAGUUCCUGACGCUGAGGCACGAAGGUCAGGGGAGCAAACGGG
rnacentral:rRNA from 1 species